AGAAAGGAAAAGGACUGCAGAUUCCAUACAACGGAAAGGCCUGUUGAUACUUUUGCUCCCUUUGCACUACCCAUCAAGAAGCAUCUGUGGAGCAUAUGGAGAACUUUGGUCCUAAUCCAGGAAACACUAAGUUAUGUUCACAGACAGGAUGUAACUUUAUUUAAAAUGGAAGCUUCUGAAGAAAGAUACAGAUAGCGGUUGGAGCCAAAGUAGUGGAUGAAUAUUUCUCCUUUGAAGUGUCAGCUUUUAAAAACACUAUGCUGAUUCGGAAAGUCCCUGGAGUGAAUUGCAAAGUUUAUUUUCUCUGCACAAUCAAUAGUUUUUUAUUCGUUCCUCUGAGUCAAUGAAGUUGAAAGAAGGUAUGUGAUGGGAAAAGCAGCAUGCCAGUGUGUUUGUAGCCCCAGCAUUUUGGAUUAGUUUGCCGUCCUGCAGAACCGUUUCCAUUUUGAAGGGCAAGGAGUGAAUGUGAUGGAUUUAUCUUCAGAAAUGAGUAGACAUGGAAGGAAUCCAGUAAGUCACAAGCUUGAAGAUCAGAAAAAGGAUUUUGACCUGAAAGAAUCCAUCCAUGGAAAGGAAGGGAAAAGGCUGUCACGUGCACAGAUAAGACAAGAAGGUUUUCAGAUGUGUAAGUGGAGGCCCUUCCAAGAGAGUUGCUCUCAGCCAAUCUUCCCCCUCCCCCCUGUGUCUCUCCAGACCCAUAUUGUGGUAAGCUGGGGACUUGGAGGGUGGAGAGAGUUUCAGAUGAGGCAAUUCAUAAUCCCCUCAUUUGCUACAGUUUAGUCUCAGGCAUAAACCUUGGUAUAAUGCCAAGCUGCAUCCCUGCCAUUGUGAAAAGAACUGUUAUAUCUAUGCUAAGGAAACAAGCUUCACGUUUUGCUCAGUCCCUGGCCCUGUAAGAACACUGAAUGUGUUCUGAGAGGCUUCAUUAGUGAAUCUCCUACUUCAUCUGAGUGCCUAGUUUACAGUAUCUCUUUCAGAAGGUUUAUC
ensembl:lncRNA